ensembl:lncRNA
UCCUGUGGAUUCUGUGGGUCAUGUGGGUUGCAGGGUGGGUCCUACCUAGACCAGGCUGAUCCUGGACCAUCCCACAGAUGCUCAAUCAGAUGUGGAUGUGGGGAGUGUGGAACCCAGAUGUUCAGAGGGAGAUGAUGCCACAUCUGGUCCAGCUGAUGGAAGGUCUUGAAGUUCUCUGACUGGCCUCGACUGAAGAUGGUCGUCUCACUGGAUUUAAGGUUCAGAUGCUCAGUAACAAACUCCACCAAUGAGCCAACAGGGAAGCUUUAGGUUUAUUAAAUGUUGCUAUGAAGGUAUCGCUGUUUUUCUUUGUGACUGCAAUGUGCUCCAACUGAAACUUGAAUUAGAACUCAGAAGUAAAUCCUUCCAUCUGAAAGGAUUUAGUUGCAUUAAUAACCUCAUAAUAUUCUAAUUUUUAUUCCAGUCUUGGUUGGAAAUAGAAUCUCUGUAUUGAUUCAGGUAAAAACUGAACUUCACAGCAUUUUGGAGCAAAACAACCAGAUGAAAACUGUGAUGGUGUUGGAUUGUCAGACCGUAAUGUUGCAGCUCAAAGCAGCUUUUCUAUCUCAGUUCAUUCUGACAUUCAGCUAUGAAUCAACACAGCAGAUGGUGAUCCAUGCUGUGGAAGUCUCACAUCUCCUGAUUUAAUGGAGCUGCUUUGCACUUUUUACACUGUUUAUUCACCAACACUUUAUUUAAUAAGAGUCCCAUCUAGUUUUUAUG